GAAUAUGAAGUGAUUCGAUUACAAUUAGUUUCGACCUAAUCUUAGGUAUUUUUACCCUUAUUCU
rnacentral:tRNA from 1 species